UACGGGGGGAGCAAACGUUGUUCGGAAUUACUGGGCGUAAAGGGCGUGUAGGCGGCCAUAUAAGUCGGGGGUGAAAUCCACUGGCUCAACCAGUGACGUGCCCUCGAAACUGCAUGGCUUGAGUAUGGCAGAGGGAAGCGGAAUUCCAGGUGUAGCGGUGAAAUGCGUAGAUAUCUGGAAGAACACCGGUGGCGAAGGCGGCUUCCUGGGCCAAUACUGACGCUGAUGCGCGAAAGCCAGGGGAGCGAACGGG
rnacentral:rRNA from 1 species